rnacentral:rRNA from 1 species
UAUGUAGGGGGCUAGCGUUGUCCGGAAUCAUUGGGCGUAAAGAGCGUGUAGGCGGCCUGACAAGUCUGCUGUGAAAGCCCACGGCUCAACCGUGGAAGGUCAUUGGAAACUGAAAGGCUUGAGUACAGAAGAGGAAAGCGGAAUUCCACGUGUAGCGGUGAAAUGCGUAGAGAUGUGGAGGAACACCAGUGGCGAAGGCGGCUUUCUGGUCUGUAACUGACGCUGAGGCGCGAAAGCGUGGGGAGCAAACAGG